rnacentral:rRNA from 1 species
GACGAACGCUGGCGGCGUGCUUAACACAUGCAAGUUGAACGAUGAAGCCGGAGCUUGCUCUGGUGAAUUAGUGGCGAACGGGUGAGUAACACGUGAGUAACCUGCCCUUGACUCUGGGAUAUCUGCUAGAAAUGGUAGCUAAUACCGGAUACGACCCUCGGCGGCAUCGCCAGGGGGUGGAAAGAAUUUCGGUCAAGGAUGGACUCGCGGCCUAUCAGCUAGUUGGUGAGGUAACGGCUCACCAAGGCGACGACGGGUAGCCGGCCUGAGAGGGUGACCGGCCACACUGGGACUGAGACACGGCCCAGACUCCUACGGGAGGCAGCAGUGGGGAAUAUUGCACAAUGGGCGCAAGCCUGAUGCAGCAACGCCGCGUGAGGGAUGACGGCCUUCGGGUUGUAAACCUCUUUUAGUAGGGAAGAAGCGAAAGUGACGGUACCUGCAGAAAAAGCACCGGCUAACUACGUGCCAGCCGCCGCGGUAA